UGGGGAAUCUUGGACAAUGGGCGCAAGCCUGAUCCAGCCAUGCCGCGUGAGUGAUGAAGGCCUUAGGGUUGUAAAACUCUUUCGUCGGGGACGAUAAUGACGGUACCCGAAGAAGAAGCCCCGGCUAACUUCGUGCCAGCAGCCGCGGUAAUACGAAGGGGGCUAGCGUUGUUCGGAUUUACUGGGCGUAAAGCGCGUGUAGGCGGGCUGGUAAGUUGGGGGUGAAAUCCCGAGGCUCAACCUCGGAACUGCCUCCAAAACUGUCAGCCUGGACUCAAGUAGAGGCAAGUGGAAUUGCGAGUGUAGAGGUGAAAUUCGUAGAUAUUCGCAGGAACACCAGUGGCGAAGGCGACUUGCUGGACUUGUAGUGACGCUGAGACGCGAAAGCGUGGGGAGCAAACA
rnacentral:rRNA from 1 species